CCAACAGGGAUUGCCCUAGUAACGGCGAGUGAAGCGGCAACAGCUCAAAUUUGAAAUCUGGCUCUUUCAGGGUCCGAGUUGUAAUUUGUAGAGGGUGCUUUGGAGUUGACUGUGGUCUAAGUUCCUUGGAACAGGACGUCGCAGAGGGUGAGAAUCCCGUAUGUGGCCGCCAGUCUUCGCCGUGUAAAGCCCCUUCGACGAGUCGAGUUGUUUGGGAAUGCAGCUCUAAAUGGGAGGUAAAUUUCUUCUAAAGCUAAAUAUUGGCCAGAGACCGAUAGCGCACAAGUAGAGUGAUCGAAAGAUGAAAAGCACUUUGGAAAGAGAGUCAAAAAGCACGUGAAAUUGUUGAAAGGGAAGCGCUUGCAGCCAGACUUGCCUGUAGUUGCUCAUCCGGGCUUUUGCCCGGUGCACUCUUCUAUAGGCAGGCCAGCAUCAGUCCUGGCGGUCGGAUAAAUGCCCGCUGAAUGUACCUCUCCUCGGGGAGGACUUAUAGCAGUGGGCGGCAUACGACCAGCCGGGAUUGAGGUCCGCGCAUCUGCUAGGAUGCUGGCGUAAUGGCUGUAAGCGGCCCGUCUUGAAACACGGACCAAGGAGUCUAACAUCUAUGCGAGUGUUUGGGUGUCAAGCCCGAGCGCGUAAUGAAAGUGAACGGAGGUGGGAACCCCUCGGGGCGCACCAUCGACCGAUCCUGAUGUCUUCGGAUGGAUUUGAGUAAGAGCAUAGCUGUUGGGACCCGAAAGAUGGUGAACUAUGCCUGAAUAGGGUGAAGCCAGAGGAAACUCUGGUGGAGGCUCGCAGCGGUUCUGACGUGCAAAUCGAUCGUCAAAUUUGGGCAUAGGGGCGAAAGACUAAUCGAACUAUCUAGUAGCUGGGUUCU
rnacentral:rRNA from 1 species